GAAAUGCGAUAAGUAAUGUGAAUUGCAGAAUUCAGUGAAUCAUCGAAUCUUUGAACGCACCUUGCGCCCUUUGGUAUUCCGAAGGGCAUGCCUGUUUGAGUGUCAUUAAAUUCUCAACUUCAAAAGCUUUUGUCUUUUAGAAGCUUGGAUGUGAAGGCAUGCUGGCGUUUCUUGAACGCUUUCAGCUCCUUUGAAAUGGAUUAGUGGACUCCUUUUGUGUCCAACCUUAGUGUGAUAAUUAUCUACGCUAUGGUCUUUUGGACACUUGCUCUUUAGAACUUCGGGGUGUUUCUACAUUCUCGGUAUGGGGAGUUGCAUUUAUUGCUCUCUCUGUCUAUUGAGUUGGGAGCUGUCUGCUUCUAACCGUCCGCAUCUUGUGGACAAAUUUUUUGAACCAUUUGGCCUCAAAUCAGGUAGGACUACCCGCUGAACUUAA
rnacentral:misc_RNA from 1 species